GAUGAACGCUGGCGGCGUGCCUAAUACAUGCAAGUCGAGCGAACAGAUAAGGAGCUUGCUCCUUUGACGUUAGCGGCGGACGGGUGAGUAACACGUGGGUAACCUACCUAUAAGACUGGGAUAACUUCGGGAAACCGGAGCUAAUACCGGAUAACAUUUGGAACCGCAUGGUUCUAAAGUGAAAGAUGGUUUUGCUAUCACUUAUAGAUGGACCCGCGCCGUAUUAGCUAGUUGGUAAGGUAACGGCUUACCAAGGCAACGAUACGUAGCCGACCUGAGAGGGUGAUCGGCCACACUGGAACUGAGACACGGUCCAGACUCCUACGGGAGGCAGCAGUAGGGAAUCUUCCGCAAUGGGCGAAAGCCUGACGGAGCAACGCCGCGUGAGCGAUGAAGGGUUUCGGCUCGUAAAACUCUGUUAUUAGGGAAGAACAAAUGUGUAAGUAACUGUGCACGUCUUGACGGUACCUAAUCAGAAAGCCACGGCUAACUACGUG
rnacentral:rRNA from 1 species